ACGCUCGACACCUACUGGAGGCAGCAGUAGGGAAUUUUCGGCAAUGGGGGGAACCCUGACCGAGCAACGCCGCGUGAAGGAAGAAGGAAUUCGUUCUGUAAACUUCUGUUAUAAAGGAAGAACGGCGGAUAUAGGGAAUGAUAUCCGAGUGACGGUACUUUAUGAGAAAGCCACGGCUAACUACGUGCCGGCAGCCGCGGUAAUCUGAGCGGGCUGGCAAGGC
rnacentral:rRNA from 1 species